UUCUUCUCUGUUCUUCUGUUAUGUUUACGUAGAAAUUGGAAUUUCAAAUCACUGACUGACAACCAAUGACAGUUAACACUGAUAGUCACUGGUUUGUGUGUAUGUGAGUGUGUGCGUGUUUAUGAUUGAUUUGAAUGCCGAUGUAAUGUAUGUGUUUUCAUCAGUCUGAAUUUCUCUUUCUCUCUGAAAGUAACAGCCACGAUGAAACAGUUUCUGUUGAGUUUUUGCCUGGCUGUAGGCCUUUUCAGCACGUUGUUACCUCAAACAGUACAGGAGACAAACAUGCAGGUGGUAACUGGGGCUUCUUGGACCAGAUUGCCAGCCUUCAGUGGGUUCGUGAUAAUAUCAUGGAUUUUGGGGGAGACCCAGACUCAGUCACCAUCUUCGGACAAUCUACCUGGGGCAUUAGUGCAUCCAUGCUGGUAGGUAUGAGAAAGACAAUGUGACACAGCAGUGAGAUGGUCAGGUACAAAAGAAGAGGUGUGGUUGAAUUUAUACCUCACAGUGUAAACCAUCAAAACCAAAGAGAGUAGCACUGUUUGACCCAAUGGCUCUGUCUAUCACCUGACAGGUGUUGUGUCCAUUAGCUGAGGGCCUGUUUCCCAGAGCCAUCCCAAUGAGUGGAGUGGCACCACUAGAGGCCCAUUACGACCAACAACCCACUGGCCAAUGCCAAGAUACUCAUGAAUACCUAUGUAACACAGCAUCCAGGUCCACACCCACCCUGCCCCCAUUAAUGCUGAUGAUGUCCAAUCUGUCAGAGUGUGAUGACAGCACUACUGAGAAGAUUGUGCAGUGCGUCAGAGGGACAUACUCACACCAUCAAAAAAGUUCAGGCAUUCAUGGGCCCUGCAUUGAUGGUGUGCUCCUGAAAGGGCCUCCUGAAGAGGUUUUGAAGAACAAGGAGUUCCUGAAGGUUCCUAUGGUUGUAGAGGUGGUCAACCAUGAAUUUGGAUGGGUUAUGUCUCAGGCAAGCUCACUGGAUUUUAUAUCUUGUUGUGAGAUUUUCUUUAAGACAACAUUAUUGUGGUCAUCAGACCAGAUUACUGUACCUGUAUCACAUUUCAGAUAUCUUCACCUCUGUUGCAGUCUAACUGUUGUUUCUGAUGCCAUAGUUUUAUUUUAUGCACCUUUGGGUUCUGUUGAUGGCAUGGAGAAGCAGUCUGUGGAAUCCGUGAUGGACAUUUUCUUCUUAUGUCUCCCAAUGGGCUGUGGUUGGUGGAGUGGACUCCCCUUUGACCACACUGAGAGUUAACUGAACCUGGGCUUGGAGCAGACAGUGGGCCUGGGACUGAAGCAGAACAGGUCCCACUUCCUGAAUGUAGUCCUGCCCCGAAACUCUCAAUCCACCAGACAGCCAAUGAGGAGCUCUAAAUCUCUGGGCUUUACCAUAUAUGGACCCUUCAAUUAACACAUGAUCAACAAUUAAUUUGGUAACACUUUGGCUACAGUACAUUCUGAAAUCCAUUGUAAUAUUGAAUACAUAAUGUAAACUUUCACUGCUAUGCGGAUGACACACAGCUGUACAUUUCAAUGAAACAUGGUGAAGCCCCAAAAUUGCCCUCGCUAGAAGCGGAAGGAAGUGGAUGGCUGCAAACUUUCUACUAUUAAACUCGGACAAAACAGAGAUGCUUGUUCUAGGUCCCAAGAAACAACAGAGAUAUUCUGU
ensembl:lncRNA